AGAGAGAGGGAGGGUGUGACUAGUGACAGAGUGAGGGAGGGAUGGGGUGACUAGUGAGAGUGAGGGAGGUGGUGAUUAGUGACAGAGGGAGGAAUGGGGUGACUAUCACUGUGUCACCCCCUUCCUCACUCUGUCACUAGUCACCCUCUCCCUCCCUCACU